ACUAUUUUUUUGUUUUUUUGUUUUUUUGUUUUUUGGAGGGGAUUUCGAGCUUAGUGUAGUUUUAGGGACAAAACAGGAAAGUGGAGAAAAAAAGAGCCUUGGAAUACAGCGCUUAAG
rnacentral:ribozyme from 1 species